UAUUUGUAGAAAUCAAUUUGAGAAGACAGCCCAGAAAGUUUAUGUAGAGAAGAAGGUUGAUUCUUUUGGACUUUUAUUUAUUAAGAAGGUUGUACGUGAAAAUUUGGCUCUAUUUUAAUUUCCUUCUCUUUCUAUAUUUAUUUUUUGUCCCUGAGGCCGAGCUCCAUGCAGAGGAUACUUUGAAUGGUGGAUUAUAUGAAGCAAUACGAAAAGAACUUAGAUACGUUGUUGAAGAAAUUUGAACUGAACUGAACUGAAUCAAGUAUGUUCAAAAGCUCUCUUUGUUCAUACAAAUCUUGCUUAUUUAAAAUGUCGGUAAAUCUCUAUUUGUUAAAAUUUCUUGGUAUUUUAUGCAUAGGCCAUGGGAAGAAAUCAAGCAGCAUUAUCACUUGAAGGCAAAAAUUCAAAUUGUUUAUAGGGUCAAGAUUCAAAGAUGCAUUUCAAGAUUCUAAAUCUUAUUUGGUCGUCAAACCUAUAUCAGGUAUAGUUCCUUAGCAAAAGGAAAACCACUAUCAGGAUAUAUAGUUUUCACUUUCAUAUAUAAUUGUUUUUUGGAUUUGUUGCAUGUGCUUAUGUGCUUAUACAUUUACUGUCGUAAUAUGAUUUGAUGCUCCACUCAAAUAUCCUACACCUAGAAUUUAUAUUACUUUCAAUCCUUUUUGCUAGUAUUCUCCAACAUAUAUUGCCCAUACAUAAACUACAAUCAAGCAAGUGAAUCCAAUAUUCACUGUCAAAUCAUAAAUUUUUAUUUCUUUUUUGAUAAUCAGGUUUUAUCGUAUGUCAUAUACUAUUGUUAUGAGCAUGAAAAUGAAAUGUGUGUAUGAGUAUAUUAAGUAUCAGUCACAAUAAAUCAAAUUUCCAAUACACUUUACUACACGAUUAGUGUGUAUAUUUGUUAUCAACCCACAAGUAAAAUGUGCUCGUACGUAAAUCUUCAAAUGAAUAGUCAAUUUGACUAAAGGUGUUGAUGUAGAUAUUUUUUUUUUAAAAUGAUGUUCUACCUUUUGGUUGGAAAACCAAUAUGCCAUUGAUGAUGCAAUCAUGUGGAUAUUGGCUGAUCGUAAGAAGGUAUACAUAUAUUAAUUAUCAGCAUUGUUGGUGACAUGUGCACCUCAAGGUAAAAGCUUUAGGCAGCUUUUAAAACAACGAUUGAUGUUGAAUAUUGUAUUCUCAAUUAUUGAGCAAAUUUUCUAAACAGGUGGUAGGAGAGACACUGAAUCCAGAACUCAAUUCAGGCAUUCUAGCUAGGGAAGUCUUUCAGAAAAUUGCUUUAUUUCAUAUUACAAAAGAUAGAAUCCUACUAUAGUAAUUAAGCAUGG
rnacentral:lncRNA from 1 species